UGCUGACACAGUCUAUGCGUGCUGAGUGGCAAAAUGUUUCUGAUGCAGCAUUUCAUUUAUAUAGAAUUAAAACCUGAAACCUAUAGUCUUA